CCCAACCCUCCUCCUUUUUCAGCCGGGCUUGGGACCGUCCAUGGCGGAGUUAGAAUCAUAAAUGCAUGAAUAUAAAUAUUUGGAAAGCACUAUUUUUCACAGUCGAUUGAAAAAAAACCCAAAAGCAGUAGUAUCCCGUUCUUUGAACUUUCACAUGUUAUCUAGGCUGUGUCUAUCCAGAGGUUUGCUCCGAUGACGAGCACGAGCGAACCAGCUUAACCGUUUGCCAGCUGGUACCAAUGAAUGAACGAAUAAAUGUUUUGGUUAUUUAGUUUUGGGGAAUUAGUAUCUGCGCUGUGCCCAACCAUGUGUCCAAAAAAACUUGCACCCGCACUGAGAAAUUUUUUGAGAAUAUCGAGCGAGGCCAUGACAGUACUGAUGAUAAUUGUUUGGGAUUUAGAAUUCUAGAAUUGCUUUUUUUACAGGGAGUUGCAUAUUCAUGUUCAGAUAUUCAAGAUCCUGAAAAAAGACGAUAAUACUAACAUUUGUUUCAGUUUCAGCACCUAUUACAGGGAUGGGGCUGCUGUUAAUAGCAGCAGCAUCACAAAAUUGGAUAUUAUUCAGAGUAAAGGUUACAGCCCACACUAUCUUUCACUAUGUAUAAUGAGUUAUAUUUAUCUUGAAUAAGCGUAUGUGUAUAAAACAGGAUGUUGAACGAGGAUUUGAUUUCAGGAAACUUAGCUUGACAUGUCAAUCCCGACAUGCAUAAAUAAAUACAUAAAUAGUUUCCUAAGGCAUUCCUUGUCAUUCCGCAGGCAGUAUUCAAAAGCGACGGUUGGUAACUUUUUUUUGUCUUUCUAUGUAGAGAAACGUUUUCAGUAAAGUCUAGAAUGUCCGACCAUAUCUGUAUUUCUAUGCUGAAACUCUCAGCAACUGCUCAGUCGAUGAAAUCUGAUGUUUGUAUUUCUAAAAUGUCUAUGGAACUUUAUAAGUGUUUUUCUUCAUAUAUUUCAAGUGGAAACGUUGACCUAACAAUUGACUGUGGGAUUACACCGGAUGUAGGACUUGCCUGCACUGUCUGUGACAUACAGUUGCAAAUCAACGGGAGAUGUUCCCAAGAAUGGUCUGUGUAACAGCUGCUGUCAUCCUUCUCUUUACCGGGAUGCCUGGGUGUAAAGCAGGCGCAUCUCAGAUGACAGACAACUGGGGUUCAGGCUGGAUGCUUCUCAAUUCCACCUACUACUACCUGUCCCUGGAAGCAGCGAACUGGUCUUCAGCCCUGACGAGCUGUAAAGAAAAAGGCGCCGAUCUGCUGUCUUUAGAAUCAUGGACAGAACAAUCACAGAAACUGAGUAAGAUGAAAUUUGCUGCCUAUGAAAGAAUCUGGUGGAUAGGACUUCAAAACAGCUCAAGUGUAAGCAAGUGGGUGUCACUCUAUGAUAACUCAUCUUUCUCAGGAGAAAUCAUACUGUGGAACGAAGGCGAGCCCAACAACGAACAGGGUCAAGAGGAUUGCGUGGAAAUGUAUCCUAUGGGUGAACUGAAUGAUGUUCCCUGCGAACCACAGCAAUCCUACAUUUGUAAGAAAUAUUUAAAGCUCGUCAACGGCUCUAGAAACAGUUGUGAUAAUAACUGGAUCCUGAUCUUGGAUUCCUGCUACUACCUUUCUACUACCCCGGCUGUGCAGUGGACAGACGCACAGAGAAAUUGUAAUGAACUCGGCGCCAACUUGCUGACCUUGGAGUCUUUAGAUGAGGUGUUGCAGAUCAGGAGAAAGACAUGGCGCUUUACUUCCAUCGACCGAUGGUGGGUGGGGUUACGGAGGGUACCAUCUAGUGGCAAGUGGCAGUGGAUCAAAAAGCCUCCGAUUUUAUCCCCUGCAGUAACCCAGUGGAAGAAGGACGUGCUCAAUACAGAGGACUGUGUGGUGAUGGACUCUGACGGAUUUCUGAGUGACAUGUCAUGUAACUCCUCUCGAUACUUCAUAUGUGUGAAAUCAAUGGAAGACGCAGACAACUGUGACUCUGGCUGGAUCAAGAUAUUCUCGAUGUGUUACAAGUUGUCGAAUAAGGCUUUAUCGUGGUCCGGUGCUCAGGAGAGUUGCAAAACCGAGGGAGGAAAACUGUUAGUUGUGAGAACUUUAAUUGAACUGGUAAAAAUACUGGAAAAUAUCAAUCUUACCAGCUCGCCAUGGUGGGUAGGACUGAAAAGGGCAUCUCCAAGUAAUUUUGACCUGAAGCAGGACGAUGGUUCAAAGGAGUGUGGAAUGAUCGCCUCUGAUAACUUUCUGGCUUUCGAGGACUGCAAAGCGUUACACUCCUAUAUCUGCCAAAAAAAUCAUAGUAAGUGGGAAACACUUUUAACAAUUCUCACGAAUUGUAAAGAUAAUGAAAUUAGAAUAGAGAGAGUUGAGUGAAAUUAUAAUAGAGUUGAUAAAUUUCGACAUUUUUGCUUGUGUUUAUGACUUUUAAGGAGCAUAACUAAUUAAACAUAAUUUUCAAGUUAAAAAGUUUGCGAGAAUCAUAAUUGCCGAUGUUUUUGAUAUCGAUGUAUUGUCAUGAUGUUCAUGUCUAAAAGUGCACGUUGAUACAUGGAUAUCAACUUCAGUUUAAGAUAAAAGUGUUAUAGGUUGUGAGACCAACACUAAGACACUAAUUUUUUUUUACCCAUUCUAGUUUUAUUCAUAGCUAUUAUGUUCACAUCAUAAAAGAAACUUUCUGUUGUCACACCUGUGGAAAAAUGUACGAAAUCCUCUUUUGUAUAUGGUGUGCAGGAAAAUGUUGCAUUAAGCGUAAACACUAUUUUUUUACACACUAAACUAUCCCGAGAGAACAAUAGAUACAAUCUGCCCACCCACACACACACUCAUGGGUGAGUAAUCCCCAGAUAGCAUGGAAACAUUUUAAAAACGUUUAAAAAAGCGCUUACAUGGUUGUAAUAAGGUUUAAGUUUUAGAUGAAACAUUUUAGAAACCAUUUAAAAACAUUUACCAAAAAAAAUUUAAUUAUUAGAAAAUAAACCAUUUAAAACAAAAAAGUUAAAUAAAUGCUUUUAUAAACAUUUAAAAGUUAACGUCUAUCACUGCGCGUCAUAAGCCCGCAGAUGACGUAAUUUUUUUUAAAACAUUUCAAAGUUUUAUUGGCUACCUUCGCGGCGUAGAUACUGACAAUCCUCACAAAAAAGCAUUUUUUAAAGACUUUGUUAUAUUUGUCUUAUCGCUAGGUUUGAUAUUUUUAAAUCAUUACAGUUUAUAAAACAUCUAUGCUACGUAACUAUAAAUAUUUGCUAUUCUUGUGGAUGUGUGUACUCCCAUGAUUCCACGCGGCGUGAAAUUUUCUCUGCUGCUUACAACACGUGACUGUGCAAAAGCAAGGUUGUAAUCUUUUGUUUUUGUUUACCACACACGUACUGCAGGUUCUUAUAAAACACUGUAUACAGUGUUCUAGUACAACACAGAUUUAAUGUAUGCUUAUCAGGUGUGAUUUGUCAAACAAAGUUUUCUUUUUGAAUAGUGCGCUCGUAUGUAAUCUAAUACCAGGGCUUCUGCUAAAUUCUUUGGGGUCCCAGGGAACCCUUCUUCAGAUUUUUAAGGGGUCCCUGUUCUUCGCCCAAAUUUGAAGGGGACCCCAUUGACGAAAAUUGAAGGGGUCCUCCGAACUUUUAAUGCGUACUGUACGCAAUGUUUUGCGUAAGCAGAAGCCCUGUAAUACGUUAAGGCAACUGAUAGUUCAAAUCAUGUCGUCCUCCUGGACGAAGCAGAGAAAGUGAAUAAAAUUGUAGAAGCAGAGUUGGCGGAAUUGAAAGAAGGAAGACAGAUCUAUUUAAUACACACCGAUACAAACAAUGGAGUGUGAGUAUGCGCUUUACAAAUUUUGCAUUUAUUAUUAUUGUUAUUAAAUCCCGUCUCCUUAUGACGUAUAUUUGUUUGUGUUUCAUUUUCUUAAUAUUUUCUUCAUGGAUGAUAGUUUUUUUUAAUUUUAUUUCUAUGGCAUCAUAACAUUGCAUACCAGAGAAGUAAAUUGCAGUCAGUACAAUCAUGUCAGCUGAACAGAUUGCUUACUAUGUUUCCUUCGUUCACAAUAAUUCCUUGAGUAUACAAGUUUGACAUAACCAUAUGCAGUCAUAAACUCUGGACUAAAUAUGACAGAUAAAGUCAAAAGUUUAACCCACUCCCAUGAAGACAAAAAGUUAGCCUUUCUGAGAAGGGUUCAUGAAUGACAAUUUAUUGUUUUCAGCACACAAUUAAAGAUGGAAGCAGACUGGCCACCAAGUAAGUUGACAAAAUAUGUGAAGGAGGGAACUCUGCCAGAUAGGUGUACCUGGAGUCUUCAUGAUGGUGGUAUUUUGGGUUCAAAGGGGUACUUUUAACCUGUUUGUUCAUUGUCAUAUAUAUAUAUAUAUUCAUAGAUUGGAUGUUGCAUCAGCCUGGUUAAUAUUGUUUUGGUCGGUCUAUUGAUACAGUUUAAAAGUAUUGUUUUUAUUUAUUUUUUAAAAAAAAGCUUUGGGAUAUUGUCAGUGUCUGUCACACAGACCUUGCUUAGGGCUUAUUGUGGUUACAGACUGGAACUGACAGCCAUAUGACCAUUAACAUCUAAAUGCUCUGUGGUCUCAGUGAACAGACUGAUUUUUCAUGUAAAAUUUGCACAGUAUUAUGUAGUAAAACAGUGCAUAUCAUUAUUCAUGAUGUAUUUUAUAACUUAAGAAAUUGUCUUUUCAGAUGAGUAUUUGGUUGUCAAAACAGCAGUUCUUAAUAGCUAGUAUACACUAUAUCUUGAAACAACACAUGUUUCUUGUUUGAAUUAUAGAAUUACAGAGAUCAAGGAAUUCAUAGGUUUGGAGAACACCUGACAAAAUCAGCACAGAUUCCCAUUAUUGUAAUUUUUCAAAAAUGCCUGUGCUGUUAAUGGGGCAUCUGUAUGAGUUCAGUAAUUAGAAUUUUUGUGGUCUGGAGCCAUGAAAUGAGAUUAGCAAUUUAACAAUAACCACGGCAAUCCUAGUUCAUCCUUUCAAUAGUUCAUUUCAAUUUUUCAUGAGGGUAAUAUUGAUAUGAUUGGUAUAGCAUAGGAAUUAUUUAUUAUUUUAUUCUUCAAUCUUUUACGUAAGAAAUUCUUAAAUUUUCAAAACUUGUCCUUUAAAUGCACACUUCUUAAUAUUUUGUAUGCUUGUUAAUUAUGCUAGGGCGAGACAGCUCACAAAAGAAAGACUACUUUAGAUCUCAAUCAGUACAUCCAGCAGCACCACUGCCAGACUGACUACAACCAAAAGUGAUAAACAACCUUUUAUGCCCACAGGUGAAUGCACUAACCACCGGAAUAUUGGCAUCAUCACGUGAGCACCCCAAUGGCCAACAUAUUGAUGCUCUGCAAAGAGUACAAAAGGAGACAGACCUCAAACUGCAGCAAUAGAAGGCGGUAUCCAGGGAGUGUCUUACAAAGCAUUAGUCCAGCACAUUCUCAAACAAGGGACAGCAUUAAAAUUGAUGUUUCAGGAAUCAAAAGAUAUGCUGAAUCAUUUGACUGCUCUGAUAAGCAAAGACAAACCUACUCCAGCACUCUGGCAGGAGUUGUUAGAGCUGCAAGGAUGCCUCAAGGAUGACUCAUGAAUUACUUGUAUGUGAAGCAGAUUUCAUUGUUAAAGUCUUUAUUAAAAUGAUAAUUUGAAAUAAUUUAUGAGAAUUUUUACACCAUAGCUUUGCGUUUUUGAAAACCGUAUGUUUUUUGUAGGGAAUACAUUUGAGCUCUUUCUGUUAGCACGUCAGGCGAUUUCUUUGAAAAUGUUUUAUAAGAAAUGAACAUUCGUAUCUUCAACAAUAGAUGGAGUGGAAUUGCCUUGCUAAUUCCAGUCUUUUGAUUUCAUGUGUCAAAAUGUGUUCUGGAGGAGGCGCAAUUAUUUAUUUGGGCCUGAAGAUUUGAUGUUUUGGUCUUCUUGACACAUUGUGCAACGCUUCGCUUGGCGGCGUUAUAAAUCUCUCUGUGGAUGGUGAGUCCAGUCUUCCGCCAAACACACUCAGCUCGCUGGCGAGUUCACUUCAGGUCGCGGAGGUCAACACGGACCUGUGAAUACCAAGGUGACCAUGUGGACUGGCGCAUCAGACGUCGAGACACUGUGGCAUGGCCAUCAACAACUCUACGCAAAACACAGUCAAGUGGCUAGGCAGAGGGUGACUGAAGUAGCGCCAUCUGUAGUUGUGUUUGGAAUGCAACUAUAUCAGCACUGCGUAACGGGCGAGUGAGUCUAAAACCUAGCGCCAUUGAUGGGCAUCUGCGAUCAAGUUCAAUCAACACACAGUAUCACAAACCUGCUGUUAUUUUUUUUUUCGCCUGGAAGGAGAUAGGAAAAGUAGUGAGUUUCUCCUUGACGGGAGCGGGGAGAGCAGUCUCCUUGGUGUUCUCAGUGCGUCCGGAGAGGACGUUUUGUUUGUAACAAGUCCUGAACCGACUUGGUGUUUUAGUCCUGACUGGACUGGGUACAAAUCCUGACCAGAUUUGUAUAGAGGAAUUGGUGUAACAUUAAACCUGUUGAGCUUAG